rnacentral:lncRNA from 1 species
AUGCCCAGAGCUGUGCCAGCAGCCCGCCCCCAAGCUAUCCUAACGCCCAGGCCACCAGUCCCAUGGGGACAACGCCCAGCCAGGGCCUGGAGCCACCAGCAGUGCUGGGAGGAGGCUCUCUGCACACAGGACCUUUCCCCUCAGCACAGACCAGGCUGCUCUCCCGCCCCGCUCCAUGCUGGAGACCUGCCAGCUGCCCCCAGGUGGGACACAAAGGGGGACACGCAGCGCGUUGCUCACAGCCGGCCUCGUCGCUGCCGUCCGUGCAGUCAGCCUCUCCGUCACACCGCCAGGCCUUGGGGACGCACUCGUGGCCCCGGGAGCAGCCCCACUGCUGGUCACGGCACAGCCCUUCCUCCCUGGGACAGCCCUCCUCGUCCCAGCCGUCCUCGCAGUCCUGGUGCCGGUCGCACAGCUCCCAGUGCGGGAUGCAGUGGUGAGUGCCGGGACACUGCAGCUUCUUCGCCCCGCACACUGAGGGGACGGAGCAGCACUCACACCUCACCCGGCGCCCCCGGACACCCCCGCUCAGCCCCUCGGCGACCACCCACCGCAGUCCUGCUCGUCAGAGCCGUCCGGGCAGUCGGCAGCGCCGUCGCAACGCCAGCUGCUGGAAACACACCGGCCGUCGUCGCACUGCCACGCGUGGGGGUCCCCGCCGCAGGGAGCAUCUGUGGGGACAGCGCACGGUCACUGGGGACCCGCCACGGCUCUUGGAACAACCGCAACAGCCCCCCUGUCCCGGCAACGUCCAAGGAGGCUCCGGAACGCGUCCCCGUGCCCAGGAGCCCUGGGGCGCUACCCAGUGCGGGACGGGGCCCCCCAAAACCGCCCCCCACACACGCUCGCUCACCGCAGAUCUCGUCCGUCCCGUCGGGACACUGCCGCUCUCCGUCGCAGAGCCAGGGCACGGGGAUGCAGCCGGCCCCGCAGGCGGCCUGACGCGAGGCAGCACACGGGGGGCCGGCGGGGGCUGCGGGAGGAAGCCGCGCGGGUGCUCAGCCACGCAGCACCCCCCUUCUCCCAGUACAGGGACCCCGAGGGGGGGCGUGCAGGCAGAGCCCCCAGCCCCGCCGCCCCCCC